AGUGAACGCUGGCGGUAGGCCUAACACAUGCAAGUCGAACGGCAGCACAGUAAGAGCUUGCUCUUACGGGUGGCGAGUGGCGGACGGGUGAGGAAUACAUCGGAAUCUACUUUUUCGUGGGGGAUAACGUAGGGAAACUUACGCUAAUACCGCAUACGACCUACGGGUGAAAGCAGGGGAUCUUCGGACCUUGCGCGAUUGAAUGAGCCGAUGUCGGAUUAGCUAGUUGGCGGGGUAAAGGCCCACCAAGGCGACGAUCCGUAGCUGGUCUGAGAGGAUGAUCAGCCACACUGGAACUGAGACACGGUCCAGACUCCUACGGGAGGCAGAAGUGGGGAAUAUUGGAAAAUGGGCGCAAGCCUGAUCCAGCCAUACCGCGUGGGUGAAGAAGGCCUUCGGGUUGUAAAGCCCUUUUGUUGGGAAAGAAAAGCAGCAGGUUAAUACCCCGCUGUUCUGACGGUACCAAAAGAAUAAGCACCGGCUAACUUCGU
rnacentral:rRNA from 1 species